rnacentral:rRNA from 1 species
UACGUAGGGGGCAAGCGUUGUCCGGAUUUAUUGGGCGUAAAGCGCGCGUAGGCGGCAAGGUAUGUCGUGCGUGAAAUCUCCCGGCUUAACUGGGAGGGGCCGUGCGAAACUGCCUGGCUUGAGUGCGGGAGAGGAGAGCGGAAUUCCUGGUGUAGCGGUGAAAUGCGUAGAUAUCAGGAGGAACACCGGCAGUGUAGACGGCUCUCUGGACCGUAACUGACGCUGAGAUACGAAAGCGUGGGUAGCAAACAGG